rnacentral:misc_RNA from 1 species
AACAAGUGUUUGGUUUACUUGAUAUCCCUUCGGGUAUCAUCUUGGUUGGCCGUUGGAAAGAAGUAACAAAAUUAAAGCCGAUCUUCUCUUUUCUUUUAUGUGGUCUUUUGGUGCACAACAGGGCAGCUGGUCUUGGGCCCAUGUGCAUAAUUGCUCAUUGGAUUUUCUACGCAAGUUCAAUUUUUCUUUCACUAAAACUAACCAACACCGUGCUCUUGCCUCUUGGUCGUUUCAGGAUUUCAUACA